UAUCGCAAUAAGCCUGUAACUCAAGAG
rnacentral:sRNA from 1 species